CGGUGCUUGCACUGGUCAAUCUAGUGGCGAACGGGUGAGUAACACGUGGGUAACCUGCCCAUCAGAGGGGGAUAACAUCCGGAAACGGAUGCUAAAACCGCAUAGGUCUUCGAGCCGCAUGGCUUGAAGAGGAAAAGAGGCGCAAGCUUCUGCUGAUGGAUGGACCCGCGGUGCAUUAGCUAGUUGGUGAGGUAACGGCUCACCAAGGCAGUGAUGCAUAGCCGACCUGAGAGGGUGAUCGGCCACAUUGGGACUGAGACACGGCCCAAACUCCUACGGGAGGCAGCAGUAGGGAAUCUUCCGCAAUGGACGCAAGUCUGACGGAGCAACGCCGCGUGAGUGAAGAAGGUUUUCGGAUCGUAAAACUCUGUUGUUAGAGAAGAACAAGUGCUAGAGUAACUGUUAGCGCCUUGACGGUAUCUAACCAGAAAGCCACGGCUAACUACGUGCCAGCAGCCGCGGUAAUACGUAGGUGGCAAGCGUUGUCCGGAUUUAUUGGGCGUAAAGCGAGCGCAGGCGGUUCCUUAAGUCUAAUGUGAAAGCCCCCGGCUCAACCGGGGAGGGUCAUUGGAAACUGGGGAACUUGAGUGCAGAAGAGGAGAGUGGAAUUCCAUGUGUAGCGGUGAAAUGCGUAGAUAUAUGGAGGAACACCAGUGGCGAAGGCGACUCUCUGGUCUG
rnacentral:rRNA from 1 species